AGUUUUUUUCUUAAGCCACUAACCCAAUGUCACAAAAGAAAAUCGUGAGAUGGUGCUUUACACUAUUUCACCUCACUAUUUAACACGAUCAUACUAUAUGCAACAUAAUAAUAGGUGAAAAAAAAUAGUGCUGACAAAAAAAAUAAUAGGUGAAAACUAUUUGAAUGUUUAAUGGAGGUUGACAUGUACAGUUGGGGAUGUAAGAACCACUAGGCAUCGUUUUACUUGUUAGCCCAUUUUCAACUUAUACAAAGCCCACCCAAUUUAAAGAAAGUUGGACAUCUAAGAUCUUGGGCUUGGGUCUUGCUAUUUUUUCUUUGUCUCAGAGUUUCGUACCUUCUAGGUUGAAUACUGAGCACCAUUAUCCCAGUUUCUGAUUAAGGUUUCUCUUAAUAAUGGGUGAUUUAAUUAAAUGAAAAUGAAAUAAAUAGGCAGUUACCGAUCCUUAAUAUGGCUAUUUGGGAAACGCUGAAGAAUGGGUUUUCAAAUACACGUGUCAGCUUAAGAAGAAAAUGAGACUUAUAUUUUUUUUUCUCUUCUCUUUCUUUUUUUUCUUCCUUUCUUCCUUCGUGUUCUCCGUCUUCGAAGAGUCUUGUCUUCGUGUUCUCCGCAGGACGACGGUCCGUUCCUCACCGACGAUCCCAUCCUCCGCAUCAAUCUCAUCGCCUUCUUCUGUAACUCUUCUCCGCAUCAAAGGCAUCACCUUCUUCUGUAGCGUCUUCUCCAGAAUCCCAUAUCUUCGUUCUUUUCUGAUUGCAUGGCGGCGAACAGUCAAGGGUAAGCAAAGGGGAGGGAUGAUGAGGAUUGGAUCGAUCACACCUGAAUAUGCAUUCGAUGAUGAGGAUUCGAUCGAUCUUGCGUGUUUCCAUUCCACGAAGCUGGUGUGUUUGUUCAGUGGAUGCUUGCGUUUUUGUGGAUCUUUAAGGCCUUUGUCGAGGUAAUGAUUCAUGCUUUAGUCUUGUUGGAGGCUUAAUUAGGAGCGGAUUGUUUUGUUGCCUAUUAACUGAUUUAGUCUUGUUAGAAGUUUAAUUGAUUGAGAUGUAUAUGUGAUCAACUUAAGAGCUUUGUUAUUGGAUUAACUGACUUAUGUUGAAGAAUGUAUAUGUGAUCAAGUUAAGAGCUUUGUUUAUUGAGUUGUUGCAGUGAAUGAUCUCUGUUAAUUACAUUGUUUUGAUGUAAAGAGCUCUUCAUUCUCUUUAUUAAUUCUUUUCUGUGUCUUGAUUGUUCUGUGUGAGGUGUGUUCGUGGUUGAGGGUGUUGUGGCACAGACAAAGACAUCUACUUCUUCGCAACCACAACCAGAGACUAUUAUUGAGCUUCGAUCUUCUAGAAAAUGUCUCUAUGCCUCUCCAGUUCCUCAAACCGGUGUUUCCGGCAUCCGUCACUCAACUUUCGGGUCUCUCCGUGUUGGUCGUAGUAGUCAGAGCAUAGCCUCUAACCUCCUCGCUUAUGGGAUUCCCUGAACUUCAAGAAAGACAGUGAGUUUAUGGGAAUCACGGUUCUCUUUCUUGAUGAAAAGAUUUCGUGAUUCAUGGGUUUAUUCCCGCCGAACGUGCUAAUCAUUACAUGUCAACCGGUUCCAUUGUGAAAGUCGAUUGUUUUGAGGUUGCUAGGUGCUCAAACAUGUAUAAGAUAAUUUAUAUACAUUCCUCAUUCGUUUCAUCUUACCAACUAUUAUUGAUGAAGUCAUCACGAGUGCUCCUGAGAUCAAUCUCCAAUCAUAAUUAGAUUGUUUGACAAUUUCCAAGUGAUUGCGAACACAAACCUAGAAGUACUCCCAGAUAUGGUUGGGAAAAUCAAUUAUGUCCAAGGCUCUGACCUUAGAAAAGAAACAACUCGAGUCGUUAUCCGUCUCCUCAUUGAUCCGUAAGAAACAAUCAACACACAAUUCCUUUUAUAUUAUUAUAUAUAUUGUGCUAACAUCAAUAAUCAAAAAUAUUUCCUACCCAAAUUAUGUGGUCGUCAAUUUAUCUCCCUUACUUAUCAAACUAAUUUUACACAAACCUUUAUUUUACAGCUUAAAAGAAACCACAACAACCCAAACAAUCAAAACACCAAAAACUAGAAUUCCAAAAAAGACGAAUCAUUAAUGAUUACCUCUCUUUUUUGUUUAAUCUUAGAAAUAAAUUUCAAAACAAAUAUACCAAACCAAUCACCUCAACUAAAACUCAACGACACAUACAUCGAGUCAGCUAAACAAAUACAAACUACACGGCCAGCUAUUUAACAAUUUACAAACUUACUUUCGCAACGAAGAAGACAAAGACGAACCAAGAUCAGUGAAAUUACCUAAAUAAAAAAAAAGUAUAGUAAGUUAUGAACUCUGGAUGAUACAACUAACAAUGAUUCUUGUUUACAUAUUACCCAUCAAAUAAAAAAUAAGCAAAUACAACCACAACAUGCGAUACAAGAGACAAUACCGACAGACACAAAGGCGACAACAACAUCUCCACAUGCUCACUCCUCUUGUCUUAUAAAAAUAGGUUACAUGCCCAAUGUCAACAGGCCAAUGCUAUUGUUUUCUUAUGAGAAAUACAUAAAUUCGUAUAAAACUCAUUAAAGCCCUAAUACUCAGAACUUUCACUCAUUUUAUAGUUAUUUCUACAAGUCUUCAUGUAUUUGUUUUAAAGGUCCGGUAAGAACAAAAUGUUUAAAAAUAAAAUAAAAACAUAUAACAA